ACGCGUUCAGCCUCUGGAUGCUGUUGCGGAAAGUUUUGUGAACCUUACCACUUAGAGGAAGGAGAAGUCGUAACAAGGUUUCCGUAGGUGAACCUGCGGAAGGAUCAUUC
rnacentral:rRNA from 1 species